rnacentral:rRNA from 1 species
GAUGAACGCUAGCUACAGGCUUAACACAUGCAAGUCGAGGGGCAGCGCAGUGUAGCAAUGCAUGGGCGGCGACCGGCGCACGGGUGCGUAACGCGUAUCCAACCUUCCCGUUACUCAGGGAUAGCCUUCCGAAAGGGAGAUUAAUACCUGAUGGUGUUUGAAUUCCGCAUGUUAUUCAAACUAAAGAUUUAUCGGUAACGGAUGGGGAUGCGUGGCAUUAGGUAGAUGGCGGGGUAACGGCCCACCAUGCCCACGAUGUCUAGGGGUUCUGAGAGGAAGGUCCCCCACACUGGAACUGAGACACGGUCCAGACUCCUACGGGAGGCAGCAGUGAGGAAUAUUGGUCAAUGGUCGGUAGACUGAACCAGCCAAGUGGCGUGAAGGAUGAAGGUUCUAUGGAUUGUAAACUUCUUUUAUACGGGAAUAAAACCACCUACGUGUAGGUGCUUGUAUGUACCGUAUGAAUAAGCAUCGGCUAACUCCGUGCCAGCCGCCGCCGUAACAC